rnacentral:tRNA from 1 species
AUCCGCGUGGCGCACGGCGUCGAUGCCGGCCGGGCUCGGGCCCCGCCGCGCGCGUGGCACUGAUCCCGUGCGCCGAUCC